GACGAACGCUGGCGGCGUGCUUAACACAUGCAAGUCGAACGGAAAGGCCCUGCUUUUGUGGGGUGCUCGAGUGGCGAACGGGUGAGUAACACGUGAGUAACCUGCCCUUGACUUUGGGAUAACUUCAGGAAACUGGGGCUAAUACCGGAUAGGAGCUCCUGCUGCAUGGUGGGGGUUGGAAAGUUUCGGCGGUUGGGGAUGGACUCGCGGCUUAUCAGCUUGUUGGUGGGGUAGUGGCUUACCAAGGCUUUGACGGGUAGCCGGCCUGAGAGGGUGACCGGCCGCAUUGGGACUGAGAUACGGCCCAGACUCCUACGGGAGGCAGCAGUGGGGAAUAUUGCACAAUGGGCGGAAGCCUGAUGCAGCAACGCCGCGUGCGGGAUGACGGCCUUCGGGUUGUAAACCACUUUCGCCUGUGACGAAGCGUGAGUGACGGUAAUGGGUAAAGAAGCACCGGCUAACUACGUG
rnacentral:rRNA from 1 species